CACGUUGCUGGAAAUGAAAUCAAAAUGUCUUAACUGCCACAAAAUACAUGAAUCUCUUAUGAAGUUACAAAUAAAGCUAAAGGAUAAGACUGGCACACCAGAAGAGGGCAUCAGAUCCCUUUCCGAUGGUUGUGAGCCACCAUGAGGUUGAUGGGAAUUGAACUCACGACCUCUGGAAGAGCAGUCAGUUCUUUUAACCAUUGAGCCAUCUCUCCAGCCCAUAGUCACUGAUGUUUGAACCCAGAGCCCUGCACCUGCUAGGCAAGUACUCUACCACUGAGCUACAAUCCUAGCCCCAUGACAGGAAGUUUAAAGAACAUAUUUUUUAGGAAAAUCUUCAAUCUCAAGAAAAAAAUGUAUUCAAAUAAGUGAUUUCCUAAUAAAUUCAGCAAGCAUUUAUGGAGUUCCCACCAUAAAACCAGUUCCCAAGAUACCUCAAACAGUUUAUGGUGUAAGACAAAAAUAAAACCCUAAUG